UGUAUAAUGGGUCAGCGACUUAUAUUCUGUAGCAAGGUUAACCGAAUAGGGGAGCCGAAGGGAAACCGAGUCUUAACUGGGCGUUAAGUUGCAGGGUAUAGACCCGAAACCCGGUGAUCUAGCCAUGGGCAGGUUGAAGGUUGGGUAACACUAACUGGAGGACCGAACCGACUAAUGUUGAAAAAUUAGCGGAUGACUUGUGGCUGGGGGUGAAAGGCCAAUCAAACCGGGAGAUAGCUGGUUCUCCCCGAAAGCUAUUUAGGUAGCGCCUCGUGAAUUCAUCUCCGGGGGUAGAGCACUGUUUCGGCAAGGGGGUCAUCCCGACUUACCAACCCGAUGCAAACUGCGAAUACCGGAGAAUGUUAUCACGGGAGACACACGGCGGGUGCUAACGUCCGUCGUGAAGAGGGAAACAACCCAGACCGCCAGCUAAGGUCCCAAAGUCAUGGUUAAGUGGGAAACGAUGUGGGAAGGCCCAGACAGCCAGGAUGUUGGCUUAGAAGCAGCCAUCAUUUAAAGAAAGCGUAAUAGCUCACUGGUCGAGUCGGCCUGCGCGGAAGAUGUAACGGGGCUAAACCAUGCACCGAAGCUGCGGCAGCGACGCUUAUGCGUUGUUGGGUAGGGGAGCGUUCUGUAAGCCUGUGAAGGUGGCCUGUGAGGGUUGCUGGAGGUAUCAGAAGUGCGAAUGCUGACAUAAGUAACGAUAAAGCGGGUGAAAAGCCCGCUCGCCGGAAGACCAAGGGUUCCUGUCCAACGUUAAUCGGGGCAGGGUGAGUCGACUCCUAAGGCGAGGCCGAAAGGCGUAGUCGAUGGGAAACAGGUUAAUAUUCCUGUACUUGGUGUUACUGCGAAGGGGGGACGGAGAAGGCUAUGUUGGCCGGGCGACGGUUGUCCCGGUUUAAGCGUGUAGGCUGGUUUUCCAGGCAAAUCCGGAAAACCAAGGCUGAGGCGUGAUGACGAGGCACUACGGUGCUGAAGUGACAAAUGCCCUGCUUCCAGGAAAAGCCUCUAAGCAUCAGGUAACAUCAAAUCGUACCCCAAACCGACACAGGUGGUCAGGUAGAGAAUACCAAGGCGCUUGAGAGAACUCGGGUGAAGGAACUAGGCAAAAUGGUGCCGUAACUUCGGGAGAAGGCACGCUGAUAUGUAGGUGAAGCGACUUGCUCGUGGAGCUGAAAUCAGUCGAAGAUACCAGCUGGCUGCAACUGUUUAUUAAAAACACAGCACUGUGCAAACACGAAAGUGGACGUAUACGGUGUGACGCCUGCCCGGUGCCGGAAGGUUAAUUGAUGGGGUUAGCGGUAACGCGAAGCUCUUGAUCGAAGCCCCGGUAAACGGCGGCCGUAACUAUAACGGUCCUAAGGUAGCGAAAUUCCUUGUCGGGUAAGUUCCGACCUGCACGAAUGGCGUAAUGAUGGCCAGGCUGUCUCCACCCGAGACUCAGUGAAAUUGAACUCGCUGUGAAGAUGCAGUGUACCCGCGGCAAGACGGAAAGACCCCGUGAACCUUUACUAUAGCUUGACACUGAACAUUGAGCCUUGAUGUGUAGGAUAGGUGGGAGGCUUUGAAGUGUGGACGCCAGUCUGCAUGGAGCCGACCUUGAAAUACCACCCUUUAAUGUUUGAUGUUCUAACGUUGGCCCGUAAUCCGGGUUGCGGACAGUGUCUGGUGGGUAGUUUGACUGGGGCGGUCUCCUCCUAAAGAGUAACGGAGGAGCACGAAGGUUGGCUAAUCCUGGUCGGACAUCAGGAGGUUAGUGCAAUGGCAUAAGCCAGCUUGACUGCGAGCGUGACGGCGCGAGCAGGUGCGAAAGCAGGUCAUAGUGAUCCGGUGGUUCUGAAUGGAAGGGCCAUCGCUCAACGGAUAAAAGGUACUCCGGGGAUAACAGGCUGAUACCGCCCAAGAGUUCAUAUCGACGGCGGUGUUUGGCACCUCGAUGUCGGCUCAUCACAUCCUGGGGCUGAAGUAGGUCCCAAGGGUAUGGCUGUUCGCCAUUUAAAGUGGUACGCGAGCUGGGUUUAGAACGUCGUGAGACAGUUCGGUCCCUAUCUGCCGUGGGCGCUGGAGAACUGAGGGGGGCUGCUCCUAGUACGAGAGGACCGGAGUGGACGCAUCACUGGUGUUCGGGUUGUCAUGCCAAUGGCACUGCCCGGUAGCUAAAUGCGGAAGAGAUAAGUGCUGAAAGCAUCUAAGCACGAAACUUGCCCCGAGAUGAGUUCUCCCUGAGACUUUAAGUCUCCUGAAGGAACGUUGAAGACGACGACGUUGAUAGGCCGGGUGUGUAAGCGCAGCGAUGCGUUGAGCUAACCGGUACUAAUGAACCGUGAGGCUUAACCUUACAACGCCGAAG
rnacentral:rRNA from 1 species